GGUGAUGGACAUUAAGGAGGGCACAUGAUUUGAUGAGCGCUGGGUGUCACAUGCAACUGAUGAAGCAUUGAACACUACAUCAAAAACUAAUGAUGUACUGUAUGUUGAAUUAAUUGAACUUAAUUUAAA